AAAAAAUUGUCCUUUAAUAUUUAGAUUUACACUAAUAAUUGCCUUUGCUUCAUCUAAGAUGUUUCCCCUCAAUGUAUUCUGGAGGCCUGAAAAGAAAAAGGAAGUCAGCAGAUACUACACAUGUAUCAGUGACAAAGUUUAUGGAACUGCAGUUCUGCCUGCAAUCUGAAAAUACAGACAAAACCCCAAAGGAUGAGGCAGUGCUCUUACAAGCAGGUCUUGGAAGGAGGAACAUAAACAUGGCUGAUAAUGCAGAUCAUACAGAGAUAAGUUGAGUACUGCUGGAAGAAUUUCCCAAAAUGAGAGAUUUGCGUGGUGGUUGGCUGUUUACAAAAGCUUCUGGGGGCAGUGGGCGAAGAAAGACUACUCCAUUGCCCCAUGGAACUGAAGGGUACACUGCAAAGGUUCUGAAGUCCUCGUCAAACAAUGGGAAAAAUUUUAUAUAUAUUGUACCCUUUUCAAGAAAAAAUAGAUACUACCCCACUGCCAUAUGAUGCUGAAGAGUUUGAAAGAAUGACAAAAAACACAUGCAUGACUUGUGGCAAACUGAUUCCUCUGCCCCUGAUCCAGUUCCACAUUGAGUCCUGUGGAGAUAAAAAACAUGAAACUGAAGAAGAAACAGAACAGACAGCUGAACAGGAUUCAGAUCUUAUUUGUGCUGACUCCUGUCCAAUUUGUGGAAAGCAGUUUCCUGCAGAGAUUGUUGCCUAGCAUGCAAGUUCAUGUGGGGAAAGGUAUUGCAAGCAUGAUGAAAAAAAGAAAUUAAAAUAACAGUAAGUGCCAAUGCUGUUAGAUCAAUCGAUUAAAAUGAUCAGUUUGAUCUUUUAGUUUGUUUAGUGAAAAGCAAGAAAAUAGAUACAAUUUGUUGAAAAAAUUAAAGAAUUUAAACCACACAAUAUUACAAAUGACUAAAAUAAGAUUAUUCUUUAAUCUGGUGUAAAGUCAGGAUUACACUAAGUCAAAGUAACACUAAGGAAGAUUUUUAUCUUAAAAUAAUAAAAACAUUAUUUUUUAAACAAAGUUUCUAAAAUCGUUUCAGUGGUUCAUCAAGUCGUAACAAGGUGAAAGGCACUUAUGCCUCCACUUUGCGGUCCUUUAUUUGCUAUAAUCGCAUUAUGUAAUAUUGUCAGAUCGGGUCGCGUUUCUGUAGUUAUGAGACA